AAGUCGUAACAAGGUAACCGUAGGUGAACCUGCGGUUGGAUCAUUACAAAAAAAUUGUGCAUGCUGCAAAAUGCAUUGCCUACUUUAUGUGAACUGUUUUGUCUCUGGUGGGCUGGGUAAUAAAUAUAAUGUGAUCACAUUUAUUUUAUUACUUGUCAGACUGUAUGGAGAGCUUUAGUCUUAAGGAGCUUUCUCUAUGGUCCGUGGACAACCCACCAACCAAUUUUGUAAACUCUAUGUUUUUUAAUUACAGUCUAAAUAUAUAUUUCAUAAAUCAAUAUGAAAAACAACUUUUGGCAACGGAUCUCUUGGCUCUU
rnacentral:misc_RNA from 1 species